UACGGGGGGAGCAAGCGUUGUUCGGAUUUACUGGGCGUAAAGGGCGCGUAGGCGGCGCAACAAGUCACUUGUGAAAUCUCCGGGCUUAACCCGGAGCGGCCAAGUGAUACUGUCGUGCUAGAGUGCGGAAGGGGCUACUGGAAUUCUCGGUGUAGCGGUGAAAUGCGUAGAUAUCGGGAGGAACACCGAUGGCGAAGGCAAUCCCCUGGACCUGUACUGACGCUCAUGCACGAAAGCGUGGGGAGCAAACAGG
rnacentral:rRNA from 1 species